rnacentral:rRNA from 1 species
GACGAACGCUGGCGGCGCGCUUAACACAUGCAAGUCGAACGGAAAGGCCUGCUUUCCCUUGUGGAUUGCGGGUACUCGAGUGGCGAACGGGUGAGUAACACGUGAGUGAUCUGCCCCCAACUUGGGUAUAAGCCUGGGAAACUGGGUCUAAUUCCCGAUAGGACUGCAGGGUGGUGCCUGUGGUGGAAAACGAUUUUCUAGUGGUUGGGGAUGAGCUCGCGGCCUAUCAGCUUGUUGGUGGGGUAAUGGCCUACCGAGGCGGCGACGGGUAGCCGGCCUGAGAGGGUGGACGGCCACAUUGGGACUGAGAUACGGCCCAGACUCCUACGGGAGGCAGCAGUGGGGAAUAUUGCACAAUGGGCGGAAGCCUGAUGCAGCGACGCCGCGUGGGGGAUGACGGCCUUCGGGUUGUAAACUCCUUUCGACCGCGAGGAAGCCACCUGGUUAGAAGGGUGGUGACGGUAGUGGUAGAAGAAGCACCGGCUAACUACGUG